GAUGAACGCUAGCGGCAGGCCUAAUACAUGCAAGCUGAACGGUAAAUGUUAUAGCAAUAUAAUAUGAGAGUAGCGUAAGGGUGCGUAACACGUAUGCAAUCUACCCGCAACAGGAGGAUAGCUCCCCGAAAGGGGAAUUAAUACUCCAUAAGAUCACGAGAGGGCAUCUGAUUGUGAUUAAACUCCAAGGGGUUGCGGAUGAGCAUGCGCAUGAUUAGUUAGUUGGCGGGGUAACGGCCCACCAAGACGAUGAUCAUUAGGGGAACUGAGAGGUUGAUCCCCCACACUGGCACUGAGAUACGGGCCAGACUCCUACGGGAGGCAGCAGUAGGGAAUAUUGGUCAAUGGGUGAAAGCCUGAACCAGCCAUGCCGCGUGCAGGAAGACGGCCUUCUGGGUUGUAAACUGCUUUUACCAGGGGAUAAAAUACCCGUGCGCGGGGAAUUGAAGGUACCUGGUGAAUAAGCCACGGCUAACUACGUGCCAGCCGCCGCUGUAACAC
rnacentral:rRNA from 1 species